rnacentral:rRNA from 1 species
UACGUAGGGUGCAAGCGUUGUCCGGAAUUACUGGGCGUAAAGGGCGCGUAGGCGGCUUUUCAAGUCGGGCGUGAAAGCUCCGGGCUUAACCCGGAAAUGUCGCUCGAUACUGUUGAGCUAGAGUGUGGAAGAGGCUACUGGAAUUCCGUGUGUAGCGGUGAAAUGCGUAGAUAUACGGAGGAACACCUGUGGCGAAGGCGGCCCC